GACAGCUCGCGCUGCUACAAACACCUAGGCGUUUUAUUUCGGCGUGCACACGCGCAGGUGAAUCUGCUGGAAAGUAUGCGGAAACGCGGCGCGUGCAGAGAGCCAGCUACAGACCAGCACUGACAGAAACCCGGAAAAAAAUAAAGAAAGGACAUGAAUGGAGGUGGAUCGAUUUGUAUUUUACUGUAAAACCGAACUUGCUUUUUGCAAAUUCAAAACAAAACAAUACUUCAGCAUAUUUACAACAGCAGUGUUGAUGGAAGUACCCAAGAAAUGCUUGUUCCUCUGCUCUUUAUUGUAGGUUGUGAUAAUAAACAAAUGUGCACCAAAGAAAAGCCGGGAGAACAUUGGGAGAGAUGGCACGGUUUGACGACACGGCGUUAUUGUUUAUUGAAAAUGAUCCCACCACCUCCAAAAGCCAUCCUGACUUCCAGUUCAGGAUCUCAGCAAUGGAGUUAAAGUCUUUUAUUAUCAGCCGUGUGAGCAAGAGGAGCCUUAAUUGAAGGAGGGAACCUGAGCAUGCCAUAGAGAAGAAGGAACCAAGGAAGGCACUACAUGUGAGGGGAUGUGAAAGGAUUGAGGUAAGAGGUAGAUAUAUAGUAGAUGGAAAUGAGGUUACUCCUCCUCCUUUUCCUCUCCGUGUGUGAUGACGUAGCAGAUGUUCUUGUAGUCAACAUUGCCAGCCACAUCUGGAGGGAAGGCGGCCCACAGGUUUUUCAUCUAAAGCAAAAAGAAUCAAAGUGGCUUAUUAUCAAAUUAUCAGUAAAUACGAACAUAAAUGCUAAUGCUUUUUACAGAAGACACACCUCCUCAGCACUGAACCUGUCGCACUGGGUGGUCAGAAGCUCCUCAAGGCUGGAGAGUAGAAGAAAAUUUGAGUUCAUAAGUGUUUAGUCCAAAUUUCUCUGUCAAAAAAGUUAAAAGAAUAUACAGAGCUAAAUAAGACAUGCAAUACAUACAACUCCUUCUUGAUGGAGCCAGUGCCCUCAGGGUCCAGGACUUUGAAAGCGCUAACAAUGACGUCCUCGGGAUCAGCACCUUAAAGAUUGCAAGGUUAUGGAUUUGUUAUAAUCAGAGGAGUUUGAGGCUGACAAGCUACAAACAAGGUAAACAAAUUUAUUCUUAGUGUCAAAUGAUGAAUGAUAAAUAUCAUAAUUAUUUCAUGUUCUACUCUAAGCACAGUUUCAAUUUAAGUAGCUAAUGUUAGCUAGGUUUUGGGAAGCUAGCUAGUGUUAGUAAGAGUUGUGUGUAGCAUGAAGCCUUAGAAAAAAUGGUUCUUCAAGGGAUCCUGUCUGAAAGGGGAAUAUGUAUUGCAUUGUAUGAUUCUACAUAUAACUUUUAAAGGUUCACCCAAAUGGACAAAUUAAAAUAUUAUAUUGUUACACAACUCUCUUGCAAAUGACAUAACAUAGCUAAUUAGCAACCUACCCUUCAGCUUUUCGCCAAACAUGGUGAGGAAGACGGUGAAGUUGAUUGGACCACUGGCCUCCUUGAUCAUGGCCUCCAGCUCCUCAUUCUUCACAUUCAACUGACCCAUGGAGGCCAGCACGUCCCUCAGAUCGUCUUUGCUGAUGAUGCCGUCCC